rnacentral:rRNA from 1 species
GGAUCCAGACUUUGAUCAUGGCUCAGGAUGAACGCUAGCUACAGGCUUAACACAUGCAAGUCGAGGGGCAGCAUGAACUUAGCUUGCUAAGUUUGAUGGCGACCGGCGCACGGGUGAGUAACACGUAUCCAACCUUCCGUUUACUCAGGGAUAGCCUUUCGAAAGAAAGAUUAAUACCUGAUAGUAUGGUGAGAUUGCAUGAUAGCACCAUUAAAGAUUUAUUGGUAAACGAUGGGGAUGCGUUCCAUUAGGUAGUAGGCGGGGUAACGGCCCACCUAGCCGACGAUGGAUAGGGGUUCUGAGAGGAAGGUCCCCCACAUUGGAACUGAGACACGGUCCAAACUCCUACGGGAGGCAGCAGUGAGGAAUAUUGGUCAAUGGGCGAGAGCCUGAACCAGCCAAGUAGCGUGAAGGAUGAAGGUCCUACGGAUUGUAAACUUCUUUUAUACGGGAAUAAAGUAUCCUACGUGUAGGAUUUUGUAUGUACCGUAUGAAUAAGCAUCGGCUAACUCCGUGCCAGCAGCCGCGGUAAUACGGAGGAUGCGAGCGUUAUCCGGAUUUAUUGGGUUUAAAGGGAGCGCAGACG